ensembl:lncRNA
CCUGCUGGGUGACUUUGACUCUCCUGGGACCCCAUUUCCUGGUCUGUAUGAUGGAGUUGACACCACAGCCUCACCGCGCUGUAGGGAGAGCAGAAGAGGGACAGCAGAGCUCAGCGUGCAGGGACGAAUGCACGCGGCGAAGCAGGUACUGUCACUUUCAUUUUGCAGAGCUCAGAGUCGGCAAGAGUUGGCAAGAGCUGUGUCUGAACCCAGUUUGCCCGCUAGCAGCUGCGUACCUUGGGCUCAAGGCUCCACUGAGUCUGAGCUGCCCUGCUGCUUCUUUGAACUCAGGGGGGCAGCAUAGGGAUAAAAUCCCUUAAGGCCUGAGGAGUAGAUGCUCCGGCUCAAACUUCUCCCACCUGCUGACAAGGUUGAGUUCAUCUCAUCACGCGCAUGUUGACUAGGGCUCUUAAUAAGCAAUUCCUGGGGACAAGUUAAGUGCCAGGGCCUGAGCCAGUCUCUGCAAGGAGGCCUAACAAAUCAGGCCCAGGCCAUGCUCCCAGGAAGGGGGAGAGGGACACUUAGUCAGCUCUAUUCCUGGGCCCCAGAAAGGCCAACCAAGAAGGCAGUGUUGUCUUCAAGAUUGAAGGUCUGUGGCAACCCUGCAUAGAGCAAGUCUAUUGGCACCAUUUUUCCAACAGCAUUUUCUCACUUUGUAUCUCUGUGUCCCAUUUUGGAAGAUUCUUUACCAUCUGAGCCACGAGGAAGUCCAAAAGGAGCAAGAGAAAUACUUUAAUAUCAAGCAAACAUGCAGGAUGCUGAAUUGGGCAAAGCGCAAGAAGGCAACACAU